UGACAUCACCGACAUGGGUUUGGGUGGACUCCGGGAGUUGGUGAUGGACACAGAGGCCUGGCGUGCUGUGGUUCAUGGCGUCCCAAAGAGUCAGACAUGACUGAGCGACUGAAGUGAACUGAACCAUAACUUAGUACAUCUACUUAGAAGUAUUUGGGUGAUUUCCAAAUUUAUAUAUUUCCAAAUUUUAAGUCUCACAAAGGUGCAAACAUCUGAAGCUAAAUCUUUGAGCAUACACAUGAACAGGAUAGAUUACUAAGUAGAGCUGCAGCAAAAGUUCAUGCUUAAAAGUCUGAUAGAUGCUUCACAUUUCAAUAAACUUCACCAACCUACACUGUUACUAAUGCUGCAUGAAAGUGUGUUACUUUGCAUUUUCACCAACACUUGAUGUAUCAGUCUUUCAAAACUCUUGUUGAUCUAAUGGAUGAAAAAUUAUCAUGAAUUCACUUUGCUUUUCUGUUCGUGAAACCACAUAUCUUUUGCAAUCUUUAUCGUCCAUUGGUGGAUUCAACUUGUUUACAUUUUAUUCAGGAUUUUCAAAACCACAUUGUUAAGCAAAAUCAUUGUGUAGUUUUCCUUUCUUGUAUCUGCCUUUCAGGUUUGGGAAUCAAGGUUAUGCUCAUCUCAUAAAAUGAGCUUAGAAGAGUUCCCUCUUCUGUUAUCCAGACAAGUUGUAUAACAUCGGGGUAACUUCUUCACUGAAUAUUUGACUGAAAUUGCUGAUUAAGUUAUGUGGUUGUGGAAUUUUCUUCUAAGACUGCUUAACUCUCUUUUAAUAGUUAUAGGAAUAUUCAGGUUUUCUGUCUCUACUUGAGCCGGUUUCUCUAAAUUACACAGCUGAUCCUUGAACAGAGGAAUCGGGGCACUCACCUCUCUCACAGCCGGAAAUCCAAAUACAUCUUUAUAGCCGGCCCUCGGUAUUUGUCGUUCCAUGUCACAAAUUCGACCAAGUGACGAUCACGUAGUAUGUAUUUAUUGAGAAAAAUCUGAGUAUAAGUGGACCUAUGCAGUUCAAAUCUGUGUUGUUCAAAGGCCAACAGACUGCAGGCUAUCAUGUUUCUGGUGAGAUGAAGCUUUUACCAUCGUGAGAUAUCCCUGAGCGCUGCGCUCGCGCCCUUCUGCUUCGGCCGCCGUGCCCCUCGCUGCCCUUGUGGCCGCUUCCUCGGUUUGCCCUGGAGCCGCUGUUACAGUGUAGGUGUCCCUCAAAAGUGGCAGCUCGUGACUGUCUGAUUGCGUGUGUGUGUCUGUAUGUAUUUUAAAACCUCUGUUUCCUGCCUGUUUUAUUUAGCGCAGUUUCUCUCCCAUGAUUAGAGCAAUAUGUUAAGACUUAGGACAAUAGCUUGUUUCCCGAGCAUGUGAGUGGAGGAGGUCUCUGCUCCUCUUAGCUGGUUAGCUGGCUACAGUCUCUGACAAACCUCUGUGAUCCCAGGAAGGGUCUGCUCCCAUCUGCUGCUCAGCAUGGACGGGUUGGGGGGAAGAGCCAACUUCUGAAACAAACACAAGCAUGGCUUCCGGGUGACAGUGCCCGCCAACGUGCCAGAGCUUUCUGGCACCGCCGUCACCAGGGAGGAGUUGGGCGAGCUCUGCUCUUGGCACACAUCAUGUCCGGAAAAGGGACUUACGCUGAGGAUCAGAACCGCGCCGACCCCCAGGAGCCCUGACUGUGGAUACCUUGAUGUGGAAGUCACUGUCAACGAGGAUGUUUUCUGGCUUGAGGUCCUUGUGUAUCACCCCUUCUCCGUGGAGGUAGCGCAUUCCUUCGAUGGUCUCCAUAAUGAUCCUCCCUUUCACGGACAGGGGGAUGCUGACCUGAAACGAGUGGCAGUCUGUCCGGGAGACGGAAAGGGACUUAAAGGGGCCAAAGCACCGGCUUCCUUCAAGAGCAGUGGAUCCGGACCUGAGGACAGAGCCAGCAGCUUCCUUUCCCGCAGGCCCCGAAGAUGCGUCCUGACCACCUUGUAGGGUGAGGGCCCCUCCGCUGUGUUCCCACAGCUCUCUGUGGGCGUGUCUGUCAACACACCACCACACCAGACAUUCACAUCCCGACCUGUGCCCUGUUACCUCUGUCACACUUGCUAUUGCUUCCUGAACAAACAGCACUGGCCUUGCUCUUAACAGGUACACACACUUGCGUUUUGACUACCCCACAGGGCAGGCAGGGAUCUUAGUUUCCCGAACGGGCAUCAAACCCGUGCCCCCUGGAAGUGGAAGCAGGGAGUCUCAACCACUGGACUACCGAGAAAGUCCAGGUACCUACACUUUUAAAAAUGCAUUAAAAUUAUUUGGCUUUGGUAAACAGGA